UAUUGGUCAAUGGACGGGAGACUGAACCAGCCAAGCCGCGUGAGGGAGGAAGGUACAGAGUAUCGUAAACCUCUUUUGUCAGGGAACAAAGGCGGGGACGUGUCCCCGGAUGAGCGUACCUGAAGAAAAAGCAUCGGCUAACUCCGUGCCAGCAGCCGCGGUAAUACGGAGGAUGCGAGCGUUAUCCGGAUUUAGUGGGUUUAAAGGGUGCGUAGUCGGCCUGCCAAGUCAGCGGUAAAAGUGCGGGGCUCAACCCCGUAGAGCCGUUGAAACUGCCGGGCUCGAGUGGGCGAGAAGUAUGCGGAAUGCGUGGUGUAGCGGUGAAAUGCAUAGAUAUCACGCAGAACCCCGAUUGCGAAGGCAGCAUACCGGCGCCCUACUGACGCUGAGGCACGAAAGUGCGGGGAUCA
rnacentral:rRNA from 1 species